UCUGCCUUGAAAGCCCAUUUAAGGUGAUUAUGACCGUUGUAGGGGGUAGGGGUGAUCGCAUGGAUCUCAACGUGGCUGUAAAACCUCACAUUGACUUGAUCUGUUUGCAGAAGAUUAAUUAGCCUGUGUGACCCUCGCACAAACGCUUGGACGUGAACCUUACUCUUAGUCUGACACCUGCCACUUGAUAUUUUCAGACCCGGCGAUGAACGUAAGGUGGAAUUAUCUCGACAGCACGGCUGUGGUGCAGGCUGAUGCUUGACUUGCACCCUGGUUGAAUCAUCUCAAAUUAAAGCACAUUCUACUCGGAUGCUCCGAAAAUGAGGAUUAUCAAAUGCAGACUCACAGCCUGUCUCCUGCUCUGAGGGCACCUGGGUCUUUUUGUAAGCAACUUUGCUCAGGGUGAGCCUAUUCAGACACAUCUGGUCUGCUGAGGAGUUCUGAUAAAGACUAGUGUGAUUUCAAAAGGAGAUAAAACCCCUGAAAAUUGCAGUGCGCUGAAAGACUCGGCAGCCCUCUUUACCCCAGGGUGGCAUCAGCCCAGGCACCCGCUGUCACGCCAUUAUGACAGGAGAUUCUUUAUAAUUGCCCAUUCCACAAAUGGCAGAUAAGCUGUUUGGACUCUCAUUCUGACGGCACCCAUUCACUGCAGAGGAUCCAUUGGUGAGCAAGUGAUGUAAUGCUAAAUUUCUCCAAAUCUGUUCUGAUGGAAAAACAAACUCAUCUACAUCUUGGAUGGCCUGAGGUUGUGACCUCAUCAGCUGGCACCGUUGGUUGCUAAUGUCGUAUUUGUGUCGGUGUGACACCAUGGGACAAGUGUGCCAGGGCUGGAUCCCCUCCCACUCCACUGGCAAGCAAUCUUCCAUCAUCUUCUGCCAUCUGGCCUUUGAUUAGAUCACCACAGUUAUUCUUUUUUAUUACAGUCUUUCCUUUCCUACUGAGCCUGAAUGCAACUACCAUCUUUUUUUAUAUCCCCUUUGAGAUGAUUUUGU